UGAUUGUUCUCCAAAACAUUCACAUCUUGAACAAGCUCUCUGAAUAUGUCGCACACAAGUGUGACUUUGAGUAGUACUGAUGAUAAAUAACCCAGGGUUCGAGAAGACGAGACGCGUCUUGCGUUCUUUUUUUUCUUUUCAAAAUAAUAAAAAAUAUAUUUAAGAUAUAUUAAGAAGACAUGAGAAAGAUAAUGUGUAGUAUAUUAAACAAAAUAUUCUCUAACGAUUUUUUUAAAAUUAUUUUUUUUAAUGGUUUAAUAGGAAUUGAGAAAUAUAAAGAUUGGGCAAUUUGGUAAAUUUAUAUAUAAAUAAGUGUAUUUUUCAAAAAUAUUAAACAAGAGUGUAUUUUUCAAAUUAUAUAUAAAUAAGUGUAUUUAUCCAAAUUUUUCCUUUUAUAUAAGGUAAAAAACAGGUUUACCCUAGAUCCCUUUUUCUUCCACUUUUUCGUCUUCUCUGCUGAAGGUUUCGAAGCCCUUCAAUGACGAUUUAUACAGACCGUUGAUUAACAAUCAAUCGCUUAUCCAGAUAGUUCGAACAGUACAUGUGACACAAACCAUGUUUCCUAAUCAAUUUCGAAGUUUCAUUCAGAGAGAAUACAAAAUCUCGUUUCGCUGCCAAGAAUUCGUUUCUAAAUUAGGUUUUCGAUUUGUUCAGGGAUGCUGUCUCAGCCAUUAUUGUCCUCAGGAAUGCUGAGGUUCUCACUGACCUGUCAGAGUUAAAGCAAGAAACCCCAGGUGUUACUGCCUCUCAUGCAUCUUCAGAAUCACAGUAUGAGCGGCAAACGUCUCAGUCUUUGUCGAGGGAACAUAUCAAGAAUGUUUUUUGUAAAAUACUCGAGGAUGUUUAAGUAUGUUGUUAGUUUUUGCAAAAGAAUGUUUAUGUA